GAUGAAGAACGCAGCGAAAUGCGAUAAGUAAUGUGAAUUGCAGAAUUCAGUGAAUCAUCGAGUCUUUGAACGCACAUUGCGCCCCCUGGUAUUCCGGGGGGCAUGCCUGUCCGAGCGUCAUUGCUGCCCUCAAGCCCGGCUUGUGUGUUGGGUCUCGUCCCCCUUCCCGGGGGGACGGGCCCGAAAGGCAGCGGCGGCACCGCGUCCGGUCCUCGAGCGUAUGGGGCUUUGUCACCCGCUCUGUAGGCCCGGCCGGCGCUUGCCGAUCAACCAAAACUUUUUUCCAGGUUGACCUCGGAUCAGGUAGGGAUACCCGCUGAACUUAAGCAUAUCAAUAAGCGGAGA
rnacentral:misc_RNA from 1 species